rnacentral:snoRNA from 1 species
AAGACUAUCCUUUCAGGGGUCAUUUCUAUAAUUUGUUACUAGUCUAAUGACCUCUCAGAAUUUACCUUGCUGAAUACAAUGACCAGCACUUAGCAGG